UACGUAGGGUGCAAGCGUUGUCCGGAAUUACUGGGCGUAAAGCGCGUGUAGGCUGCCCUGCAAGUCGGAUGUGAAAGCCCUGGGCUCAACCUAGGAAGUGCAUUCGAAACUGCGGGGCUGGAGUCCUGGAGAGGAAGGCGGAAUUCUCGGUGUAGAGGUGAAAUUCGUAGAUAUCGAGAGGAACACCGGUGGCGAAGGCGGCCUUCUGGACAGUGACUGACGCUGAGACGCGAAAGCGUGGGGAGCAAACAGG
rnacentral:rRNA from 1 species